AACUUUCGGCAAUGGAUCACGCAUCGAUGAAGAACACAGCGAAAUGUGAUAAGUAAUGUGAAUUGCAGAAUUCAGUGAAUCAUCGAAUCUUUGAACGCACCUUGCGCUCCUUGGUAUUCCGAGGAGCAUGCCUGUUUGAGUGUCAUGAAAUUCUCAACUGCCUUUUAGCAUUUAUGUUAAGGUGAAGUUGGAGUUGGAGGAUAACUGCUGGCGCAACUUAGGUUGCUUGUUAGCUCCUCUUAAAUAGAUGAGCUUUUCUGAUAGAUCAUAGCUCAGUAAUACUGAUGUGAUAAUUAUCUACAUUAGAUGUGAAAGCUAUGAAUAGAGUAACUUCAAUUAUGAAGAAGCUCCUAUAGAAAGGAUAUGUUUUUGGGAAUAAUAAACCCAUGACUUAUGACAAAUCUGACCUCAAAUCAGGUAGGACUACCCGCUGAACUUAAGCAUAUCAAUAAGCGGAGGCU
rnacentral:misc_RNA from 1 species